AUUGAACGCUGGCGGCAGGCCUAACACAUGCGAGUCGAGCGGAUGAAGGGAGCUUGCUCCUGGAUUCAGCGGCGGACGGGUGAGUAAUGCCUAGGAAUCUGCCUGGUAGUGGGGGAUAACGUCCGGAAACGGGCGCUAAUACCGCAUACGUCCUGAGGGAGAAAGUGGGGGAUCUUCGGACCUCACGCUAUCAGAUGAGCCUAGGUCGGAUUAGCUAGUUGGUGGGGUAAAGGCCUACCAAGGCGACGAUCCGUAACUGGUCUGAGAGGAUGAUCAGUCACACUGGAACUGAGACACGGUCCAGACUCCUACGGGAGGCAGCAGUGGGGAAUAUUGGACAAUGGGCGAAAGCCUGAUCCAGCCAUGCCGCGUGUGUGAAGAAGGUCUUCGGAUUGUAAAGCACUUUAAGUUGGGAGGAAGGGCAGUAAGUAAAUACCUUGCUGUUUUGACGUUACCAACAGAAUAAGCACCGGCUAACUUCGUG
rnacentral:rRNA from 1 species